rnacentral:lncRNA from 1 species
GAGCACCGCUUCGCCACGUGAUCGGCAGCGCGCCCGGAGUGAUCCGGCUGCGGGCCAGGGUCUGGGAAGGGGGUGGUGGGUCGCCGUUUCAUCAGAAGCCGGAGGACGGGCGCCAGGGGGCAACUUCCUACAGGAGGGCGUCCCGUUAGAAUGACAGGGCUUUUGCAAAAGUCUGACACCCGUGGCACAGAGCGCCCCAGAUAUGGAGGGUUUCACAGGCUCAUGUGUGGCUUCUUCAGUCCUCUCUUCAUUCACUCAUGUAUUCAUUUAUUCAACGACAUAUUACUAAGGAACCUCCUUAAGCCGGGAUGCUGAACGUGGAAAAAUAGUUGACUCUUGAACAAUGUGGGGGCUUGGGGCACCAACCCCCUGUGCAGUUGAAAAUCGACAUAUAACUUUGACUCGCCAAAAACUUCACUACAAUAGCCUGCUGCCAACCUGAAGUCUUACCAAUAACAUCAACAGUCAAUUAAACAUAUUACUAGGCUGAAAAGGAGAAGGAAGUGAAGGGGUUGGUCUUGCCGUCUCACGAGUGGCAGAGGCAGGAGAAAAUCCAAAUCCUCAGAGGAAUCCUGUAUUGUGGGACUCUGGCUAGCUUUAUUUAACCUGGCACUUCACAAGCUGACCCAAGAUCUCACGGUUCUUGCAACGCUGCAUUUUAGUGUAUGGAAAGGUGGGAAAGAGAUCAGAAUGAAUAUAGAUGAGUAUCUUAUUCCCAUUUAGGCUGCUAUAACAAAAUACUGUCCACAGAGUGGCUUGUAAAUAACACACACAUCUAUUGCUCACAGUUCUGGAGGCUGGAAAGUCCAAGAUCAAGCUGCAGGCAGCUUUGGCGUCUCGGGAAGUUUUGCUUCCUUGUAGACAGUGCCAUCUUGCUGUAUCCUCAUGUGGUUGAAGGGGCAAAGGAGCUCUCUCUGGCCUCUUUUGUAUGGACCCUAAUCUCACUCAUGAGUGUUCUGCCCUCCCAUAACCUAAUUACCACCUCUUGGGUCUAACUCCUAAUACCAUCACCUUGGGGGCUAGGACUUCCACAUAUGAAUUUUGGGGGCAUGCAAACAUUCAGACCAUAGCAGUGAGCAUGAGUGAAAUUUUAGGAAGUAAAUCCUAACAGAAUUGGGAAAUACAUCAUGCAUGAUUCAAUUCUGCGCACUCUUAGGCCUCAAGAGAACAAGGAGGGAAACUAACAGAUUAUGUGCUGAGCAAUUUUUUUUCUAUAGCAGGACAGGCAGAAGGAUGCCUUCUUCCACGCAAGCACUGAACCAAACCACAGUAGAAGAAACAGAAUCAAAUGAGAGAGAUUCAACUGACCAGUUUAAGGCUUAUCAGAAAGGAACAAAGACAUACCAAAAUAGACCAUCCUUGCACAAACACAGACACACAGGGACAAGGCACAAGUGCAUCACUUACACCAGCACAGGUGCUAGCAAGAAACCCAUUCAUAUGAACACUUUAUGCGGAUUUUAAAGGGAAAACUCUUCUUUUAAACAUAAAGGACUUUUAUCUUUGUAGUAUCCACAUUUAUUCACUCAUUCAUUUGAUGCAAUUUAUGUGCCAGAUGCUUGGUCAGGACUGAGGAUGUGUAGUGGACAAGCCAGGAUUGCUGCAGUGAUGUGCUCACCAUUGGAGAGAGGAAUGACUGUCAACAAAUCACUACAGGCCCAUAUGUUAAGUUCUUUAAUAGUACGGUGACUGGAACUACGGGACGGAACCCAAAAUGCAGUCACCCAAACGCAUCAUGUCCAUUUUGAUCCCUACAGCAAUUAAGCCUUGCUUUCACAGCCGCUGAAGCAGACCAACAGAUGGUUGUUUAAUUGUUUAUAAAACCAAACAUUAACUACUGGGCUUGGCAACGUAUCUCUUCUCCUGAAGCCUCUCAAAGCAGAUAUCAGACAACACUCUGGAAGAUGCUGAGAAACAUCAAAAGAUCAAAGGUCGAAUCUUGGAAUUCAGAUCUGUCAUUGACCUGCCUUAUAACUUCUGUCAAACUGCAAUGUGGUGAGAUUGUUCACAUGUUUCACAGCAGUGUUGCAUGGAAUGACUAAUGGCCUUCAGUUGGUUCCUGUGUAGAUGGUAAAAUGGAAAGCUGUUCACAAAACCCCUUUCUAGCAAAGAUGCGUCUCUGCCAAGUCACAUAUGUUGGCCAGAGGUGUGUUUAGGGAACUUGGCCCUCUUCAGAAAAAUACAGUCUCCUUGUUCCUGGCCAGAUUUUAAUGUUGCUCUACCUUUUAGCUUAUGAAGCUUCAGGCUGUCUGUACAAAUGCUGUCUGUUUUAAUAGAGUGCUAAUUGCAGUAACGGGCAGGGCACUUAUGUCUGUAAUCAUCACAUCAACGCCACUUGGCUUAAUCCUUGAAAAUGGACAACAAGCUAUUACUAAACCAUAAAAAUCACAAAUUGUGCGUGCUGACCUAGAGACACCUCCAAUCAAUGAGAAGCAGCCUGAGAGCCACCAAAGGCUCUUCAAUGUCCAGCUGUCACCGACAUUCCCCAAGAACUUCAAAGAUUUUAAAGGCCACCAUUUCCAUGCACGUGUCUCUUGGCGUUGCUGCUGUUUACACUAUGUGGAAGCUGGACACUCAGCCUGUUUCGGGGGGACCCAGGCUAAAGGUUCUGCCCUAGGUGUGCCUCUUCCUUAUCCUCCUGGGUUCAGCUUCAACGUCACAUGCCCAGACUUUCAGCCUCCAGGACUUAUACCAGCACCCACUCUCCCUCCUGAUUCCCAGGCCUUCAGCCUUAGACUGGGAGUUAUAGGAUUGGCUCUCCUAGUAAAGGGUAAGAUAGAUGUAUUCUUUUAUAUAUAAUAUAUAACACAAUGGCUCUCUG